CUGGCCACUACGGCACCCCAUGCCUGCAUGGCUUCAACUAGUCCAUGCGCGUACCCUUCCCUGCCGCGACAAGCCUGCUAUAAAACCACCAGCGGCUCCCGUGGCCAGCCCCCUCGGGGGACCGGCCGGAGGUGUUCCCCUCCUGGUCUCCCCUCUUCUGUCCAAGCUCGGCGGAGAUGUAUGUAUGUGCUCGUGGCAUCUAUCUACGGCUUCUCGUCGUGUCGAGGUAGAUGCUCAGGUCAGCUGCCAGCCGGCGGGUGAUAGAGAUUGCCUGGAUAGAUCAGAUGUGGUCGAUGUCCAGGGAGCGGUGGCAGCGCGCGGACGUCGGAACACCGGCCGGGGAAGAUGAUGUCGGUGGCCGAGCUAGGAUAGAAGAAGAACUAGGUCAUGUCGCUAGCAGCUUCUGUUUAUUUACUUCUGUAGUUGUUACGGUCUUGCUCUUGUUGGAUGCGCUUUUUUGUACCCUCCUAUUGUUGUCGUACCUAGGUGUUUGUUGUUGGUGUUAAUCGAGAUCCUUUUUUGUA